AACAAGAAGACAUACGUUACUUCCUCCUCCUCCUCCUCCUGCACCGUCAACCACUAGAGCAGUAGCAGAAGCAGCUUCAAAACCCCACAACAUGACAACAUCCAAACGCCUGUCUGAGCGGAAGAUCGCAAAGUUUGAGAAGAACAUAACCCGUAGAGGACUCACUUUUUCCAGCAAGAAAGCAUUUGAACCUGCACACAUUGUCCUCUUGCUCUUUGCUGUUUUGGUCGUUGGAUCAUUUAUUUUUCAGGUUGUCAGGAUGGCGCUUAAAGGUGAAGCACCUUGAGGAACUAAAGACGAUUUAUCAAGAACUGCUGCCUAUAGCUCAUGUCAAUAUGUACCAAAUGAAAAGAAUGCAAAUUGUUGAAAACUAAAGAACUA